rnacentral:rRNA from 1 species
UACGUAGGCGGUUAGUUAAGUUAGAUGUGAAAGCCCCGGGCUUAACCUGGGAACUGCAUUUAAAACUGGUUAGCUAGAGUUGAGUAGAGGGGAGUGGAAUUUCAGGUGUAGCGGUGAAAUGCGUAGAGAUCUGAAGGAACACCAGUGGCGAAGGCGACUCCCUGGACUCAAACUGACGCUGAGGUACGAAAGCGUGGGUAGCAAACAGGAUUAGAUACCCUGGUAGUCC